CAGCUUUCCCACGCCGCCGCUUGAGCCCCCGGACGCCGCCACGCCGUCUAGCAUGAGUGGCUGGCUUGUUCCCGCCGACGGCCUGCCCGAGGAUCAGAUCGAUGGUUGUGGUGCCAGACCGAUGGGCGCCGGGGCGUGAGGAAGACAACACAGACAUCAGCGACGGUGACUACGCUCCACCGGUUUUUACGUCUACUCCACUGUUUUUUAUCCCGUCCUCAACAGUCUGUACGAUUUCUCCUCCCAGCAAUUCUUGCGCUCACUCCUCUGCCCACCUCGCUGAUGCCGCCAUCCCCAUGGCACAUGCCCGGUGGCCAACCUAAAGCGCCCCAAUGACCGGCGGCAGUCGUCCCUUACCGACGCUCUAAUCGCGGAGCAAGUGCACCCUCGGAAGGCUUGAGGAGCUCGCAGGCGCGCUGCGGCAAUCAUCUCGCGGUUGUGAACAUCGCGCCGCCCAACCGCGCCCCUCCUCCACGCUGGCAAUCUCGUCAGAAUUUGGCCGCGCCCGUCCUUGGCGUCGCCAGAUCUGGCCACUCCGGUUGUUGGUGUCGUUGGAUCUGACAGCCAUGGGCCACUCACUGCGGCGGCGGCCGGUCUGCAAGGUAAUCACGGAGACAGCGAAGCAGUCUAUCGAGUACUAGGGUUCGGCAUGAGGUUGGACCAAAAUCAAUGUGUUGAGCCCCAAGUCCUCGGAGCAAGCGUUCGUCAUUCAUUUCAUUGGGGGGAUUUUCGUUGGAGGGUCAGGAUCAAGAUAUGAUGUGCAGCGAAGUGGAAACGUGCUGAUGGCCUUUAAUAACAAGGUGAGCUUGGAUCUGUACCAAUAGUGGAGGGGGCGUCCAUUGAGACCAAGGCGGUUGGAGCAGCGGACUAUCGUCCUAGCGUUGUGAGUCCCUCACCGGGAAAGAAACUUUCUAAAUAUAUCGUCCUAGCAUCCGUGCAUACAACGGCCAUGUCGAUGUAAGGGUGCCCGUGACCAGCUUUAGAAUUUUGUUGUGUCCGGAUGGAGAAUCUAGGAUAGUCACCUCAUCAAGGAAAAGAAAUCAUGGGUUGUUUCAUGUAAUUCUGCUAUUCCACAUGUUCUAAUUAUUCCAAAAGAUCCACUGUGUUCUAAUAUCCAUCUAGACCUAGAUCCAGUAUGAAUCCGUUUCACAACAGAUUUGUGUUUUAUUUUGUCUUCCAGUACUUGCUGGAAAACUUUAGUGAGUUUGAUAAGAUUUUUUAGCAGGCAAAAUCAGUGACAUUAGGAAAAAUCUUCAUUACACAAUAGGUUUUCUCGCGGGUAAAUAUAAACGAAGAUAUUUCUUUUUUUCAUUCCUCAGUUUAAGCUGCUAAUUUGGACAAGCGAGAUGACUAGAUGAUAGAUGCAUGGAAAGUUGAAACAUUGAUGAUUUUUGUAGUGUGCACUAACUGAAGUUGGCCUGCUGCUCCCACGUACGCUGUAGUCUCCCUUGGGUGAUUUGGAUUCUGAGAUUUUCUUUGAUUACCAUUGGGCAUUGGUUUCUUGUUCUACAUAUUGGGGCUUUCUUAAUUCUGGUGUUUGGCCUAAGUGAUUGGGGAUUGACAUUGUGAAUGUCUGAGUCUGUGGGCAUCUGAAGCUGCACGCUCCAUUGGCUAAAACUUGCUGUUUGAUAUCUUCUCAAAUUCAAAGCAAUUGGCAUGUUAAAUUAUUUCUUAACCAGGUUUGGUUUCUAUUCACACAGUGUCCCUUAUAUGUUAUGACUUUUGUCGUACACCCUGGUUUCCUUAUAAUUGUAAUAGCAUCCACAGAAACAGAUUAACUCACAUGUCACUUUUUAUAUUGUAUCCUAAUACAUGUUUCUAAACUAAUCAAUUUAUAUGUUUCAUUUAUUGUAUUUUCCUGCCUAUCUACAACUUAUGAUGUCAGAACUCAUUUGUAAUGUACACAUUGGAUCGUAGUUGAUCUUUGUUCUCACAUGCCAGUUAUGUUUUUCGAUGUGGAUAUGCUUAAGUUGAUGUGGUGCAUGGCAUAUGCUCAAGGCUCUUGGUCAUCUAUGGAAAUACACACCGGGAAGAUCAAUUGCUCCAAAGUGGAGAUUAUGAGAGGCUGACUAUAGAACAAAGUAAUGUGCAGAGGAUGCAUUAAUUCUACCUUUUGUGCUCAGCCCCUUAAACAACCCAUCUCAUUGCUGGGCAAAGGGCAUAAAGUAAUCAACACGAAUCUCUCCGCUACACCUAUCGGCAUUUAAAGAUGUUGAACUGAUCCUUCGGCCCUACCGUAUACAUUAUCACAUUGUUCAAGAAGCAAUGUUACACAGGAAUUUGACAGGUUUAAUAUGGACUAUUUUGCUGUGUGACUACUAAAUGUAAACUCAAGUCAUACUUAUCUCUUAGAGAUCAUGAUGCACGACCCAUAUCUAGCAUGCUGUUGUUUCUGCCUGUACAAAUUGUAUAGUAGAAAUGAUUGUUUGGCUCAUUGUAUAGUUCGAGUUGACUAUGUUAUUCCCAGUUUCUCCAACAUUGUUACUUGGAGAUCUAGAAAUUAAAAUUCAUGAUCUUUCACA